UUUUUGUCUUUCAAAUUAUCCUUGCCACCGCCCCCCUCCACCCCGCAGUUUGCGGCUUAAAGCAAUCUUCAUCAAGAUUAACACCCAGUUGUCAAGCAGAUUCAAUUGCACCGAUCCAAUUCAGAAUUUAGGGCUGAAUUUAACAUAUCCACAUAACUCGUUCAAGACUCAGCAUUGCACUUUUUGAGAAGAGCAACAAUUCAUGAGAGCAACAGAACCUCAUUAGGGGUUAUGGUAGUUUUCCCAGCCUGCACUGGCAUUGUCCAGCAAGGAAAUGCUUCUGGGUUUCAGUGUGACAAUGAAAAGGAAAUGUUUUUUCCAAGGCAUUGGUUACUUCUAAUCUGAAACACACUUUGAACAAUGAGAAAUAGACAGGAACUCUUCAGUGCACACUGACAAGGCCACAUACUUAUGGAUGCACCUGUUUCCAUGGCAACAAAAUACUUAGGUUCCACAAGAGCCUGUGGGUCCUUUUGUGACUUUCUACUGCAUCAGUGUUUAACUCUGUGUGUAACCAAAAGAGAUAUAGUUCAUAAAUGACAGGAAUGUCAGUGCCUUGUGGGGCUGGAGCAACCACAGACCUCGGGCUCAGAGGUACCGCAAAGUGAGUCAGGACUUACUUCAGAGAAAAUGGUCUACAUGAGGAGGAAAAUUGCACACUCGAGUCCCAAUGAAAUUAAAGAACAAGUUAGGCAUUGCCCAAGUGAGUAAUUUCCCUCAUGUCAGCCACGAUGUUUCGGACGGGAACACAAAUGCAGAAUAUUCCGUUACUUUUAGAAAUAUAAUUUGUAGUCACAGCUCAGCCCUUCCCCGAGACGUGCCUUUUGCCCUUUGUGUGCCCCACCCCCAUAUUUUUUUCCUGGUGCUUUCAAAUACAAACAAUUCAGUACUGCAAAUAUUUAUUUGUGGCAUUCAUAAAUUAAGGUGUAUGCUCUCAGUUGUGGUUGCUGCCUUCCUUUUAUAAGUUUUAUAGUGUGUAUAGUUAUUUGAUUGUUUUAAAUUUGUUUGUAAGCUAUCUUGGGUUCCCAAAAGUAGGUCAGGAAACUGUCCCUCCAUGUUUAAGUCCAAUAUUUUGUUUUUAUUGAAGUUUUAUUACUGCUUUUAUCUUUUUAUUAACCGAUGGGGUUUCUGGAGGAAGGGCGGUAUAUACAUGUAAAUAAUAAAAUAAACAAACACUCUAAGCACUA